UACGUAGGGUGCAAGCGUUGUCCGGAAUUAUUGGGCGUAAAGAGCUCGUAGGCGGUUUGUCGCGUCUGCUGUGAAAACUCAGGGCUUAACCCUGAGCCUGCAGUGGGUACGGGCAGACUAGAGUGUGGUAGGGGAGAUCGGAAUUCCUGGUGUAGCGGUGGAAUGCGGCAGAUAUCAGGAGGAACACCGGUGGCGAAGGCG
rnacentral:rRNA from 1 species